rnacentral:rRNA from 1 species
UGAGUAACACGUGGGUAACCUGCCCUAAAGUGGGGGAUAACAUUUGGAAACAGAUGCUAAUACCGCAUAAACCUAACACCGCAUGGUGUAGGGUUGAAAGAUGGUUUCGGCUAUCACUUUAGGAUGGACCCGCGGUGCAUUAGUUAGUUGGUGAGGUAAAGGCUCACCAAGACCGUGAUGCAUAGCCGACCUGAGAGGGUAAUCGGCCACACUGGGACUGAGACACGGCCCAGACUCCUACGGGAGGCAGCAGUAGGGAAUCUUCCACAAUGGACGAAAGUCUGAUGGAGCAACGCCGCGUGAGUGAAGAAGGUUUUCGGAUCGUAAAACUCUGUUGUUGGAGAAGAAUGUAUCUGAUAGUAACUGAUCAGGUAGUGACGGUAUCCAACCAGAAAGCCACGGCUAACUACGUG